GGGAACAAAUAAGAAAAUCUCUUCAUCUCCCUUAGAGCCAGUUCAUCCUGAAGAUAUCUCCCAGUGGUUGUCAUUAGCCCUGAUGGAAAACAGCUGAGCCCCAGCACAGCUACACUGAUCUUCACCAAGCAGAAAGUCACUGGAUGCACAUGUUACACCAUGGACUGUCUGUGUGCCAGGAGGGAGCUAAUGACAGGAAAACAGCAAUGCCUCAUCUGUGCUACCCUGAUGGGUUGGGUAUCUGAAUUUGAUCAGUUUAGAAGAAAGGCUUUGAAUAAAGUAUUACAAUAACAACUAGGAUGGAUCAACUCCCAUAUUAAAGAAAAGGGGUGAGCCUGGAUCAUCUCAUUUAGACACCCACUGUGCAAAUCACCCUGAAGUUUCAAUGAUGAUUAGUGAAGAGAUAAAGACAUGAUGAGUAUCUGAUUUGUCUGAAUCAUCUAAGGCCAAAAACAUCUUCAAAAUGCAUACCUUUUUUUCCCUUCUCUAUCUUUGUUGAAUAUUAAAAGAGCAUAUGAUGGCUGCCUGGAAUAUCCAGUAUGGGUUUUAAAUGUGAGAUGAAUUUCAACUGCAUACCAAACAUACAGCACAAAUAAAUGCUGAGUUUAUGAAAGGGGCAGUACUCCAUCAGCU